rnacentral:rRNA from 1 species
AAAUUAAUGAAAUUCUAACCAAAAAAAUUAUUCCAAAUAUCCGGUCCUCUCGUACUAAGAAAUAUAAAAAAAUUAUAGAUAGAAACCAACCUGGCUCACGCCGGUUUGAACUCAGAUCAUGUAAGAUUUUAAAGGUCGAACAGACCUAAUAAUACAGUUAAAGCCUCUACACCAAAAAUUCACCUUAAUCCAACAUCGAGGUCACAAACCCUUUUGUCAAUAAGAACUCUCAAAAAAGAUUAUGCUGUUAUCCCUAAGGUAAUUUAAUCUUAUAAUCAACAUCAAGGAUCACAAAAACACAAAUAAGUGAAAAACACAAAGAAGAGUUACACUUAUCUUCCCAUCACCCCAACAAAAUACAACGCACCCCACAAAACGAACCAAACUAAAAAGAAAUACAUUAUAUAAAACUCUAUAGGGUCUUCUCGUCCCAUAAAAAAAUUUAGGUAUUCUUACCCAAAUAACAAAUUCAAUAUAAUCAAAAACAAAGACAGUUAAUAUCUCGUCAAGCCAUUCAUACCAGUCCACAAUUAAAGAACUAAUGAUUAUGCUACCUUUGCACGGUCAAAAUACCGCGGCCCUUCAAUAUCAUCAGUGGGCAGGCCAUACUUCAAAUCAACACAACAAGAAGCGAUGUUUUUGUUAAACAGGCGAACAUCCAAAUUUUGCCUAGUUCCUCUGAAAAACAUGACAUACAAUAAACCCAAAUAAAACAAAAUAUACUAAUUCAACCAAAAAUACUAUAACCGAAAAAUUCAAUUAAACAUCUCAAUAAAAAUAUUAAACAAAAAGAAAAUUACAAACAAAGCAAGCAGAAUUUUAAAAUAUUCAUAAAAGAAGCCAACAUAAAGCCCACAAGACAAGCCAAAUAAAUACAUUAUAAAAAAGAAUUAGAGCUUAUCCCCCAACACCUUCACAAAUUAUUAAGCCAAACCAAUAAAAAAUAAAAACUAAAUAAAAAGUGUGAAUUAAAUUCAUUUCUUGAAAAACCAGAUAUCCCCGGAAACGACUAACAUAUCACUGCCAAAUAAAUGUCACCGAUACUAAUGAAACAGUAACCAAAACAAAUACUUAACUCCUCCGAAAUCGGGAAAUAAAAAUAAAUAAUAAGAAUUAAUAAACCCUGAUACACAAGGUACGGCAAAUAAGUCCUACUUAUAAAAACAAAUAUAAACAAUCCCUCACGGUACAAAUAAACUAUAAUAAAAAACAUUAAAUAAAUAAAAAUACAACAACAAAACAAUAAUUUGCCCAAUCCAAAUUACAAACCAACAAAAAAAAAUAAACCAAUCCGCCUCAGACA